rnacentral:rRNA from 1 species
UACGUAGGGGGCAAGCGUUGUCCGGAAUCAUUGGGCGUAAAGCGCGUGUAGGCGGCCCGAUAAGUCCGCUGUGAAAGUCCAGGGCUCAACCCUGGGAUGCGGGUGGAUACUGCCGGGCUCGAGUCCGGAAGAGGCGAGUGGAAUUCCCGGUGUAGGCGGUGAAAUGACGCAGAUAUCGGGAGGAACACCAAUGGCGAAGGCAGCUCGCUGGGACGUGACUGACGCUGAGACGCGAAAGCGUGGGGAGCAAACAGG